rnacentral:misc_RNA from 1 species
AGCAGCUAUCAAGAAUAAACCGGCCUUAUAUCUCCAGCUCAUAGCAAAUUACAGAAAAAACCCAAGUAGAGAAACCGGCAGAAAUUGAAGAGAUCAGCGAGUUUCCCUCAGAUCUUUGAAACCCAGUUUAAGAUUUGUCGGUGGUCAGCGGCAGGAGCUAUUUUGAGAUCUCAUAGCUAGAGAGGGACGUACGUUUCAAUGCGCAGACAAAGAAAUGGAAACUGUUAAAGUGCAAAUGGUGUGAGUAACAAGAAUUGAAAAAGAGAUAAGAAACAAAAGCCAAAAAGAAAACGCAGAAGAGGAGGAUUAAUGGGAUUACGGGAGGCGAGGUGGAAAGG